UUGAGUGGCGAACGGGUGAGUAACACGUGGGCAACCUGCCCAAAAGAGGGGGAUAACACUUGGAAACAGGUGCUAAUACCGCAUAACCAUAGUUACCGCAUGGUAACUAUGUAAAAGGUGGCUAUGCUACCGCUUUUGGAUGGGCCCGCGGUGCAUUAGCUAGUUGGUGGGGUAAAGGCUUACCAAGGCAAUGAUGCGUAGCCGAACUGAGAGGUUGAUCGGCCACAUUGGGACUGAGACACGGCCCAAACUCCUACGGGAGGCAGCAGUAGGGAAUCUUCCACAAUGGGCGAAAGCCUGAUGGAGCAACGCCGCGUGGGUGAAGAAGGUCUUCGGAUCGUAAAACCCUGUUGUUAGAGAAGAAAGUGCGUGAGAGUAACUGUUCACGUUUCGACGGUAUCUAACCAGAAAGCCACGGCUAACUACGUGCCAGCAGCCGCGGUAAUACGUAGGUGGCAAGCGUUAUCCGGAUUUAUUGGGCGUAAAGGGAACGCAGGCGGUCUUUUAAGUCUGAUGUGAAAGCCUUCGGCUUAACCGGAGUAGUGCAUUGGAAACUGGGAGACUUGAGUGCAGAAGAGGAGAGUGGAACUCCAUGUGUAGCGGUGAAAUGCGUAGAUAUAUGGAAGAACACCAGUGGCGAAAGCGGCUCUCUGGUCUGUAACUGACGCUGAGGUUCGAAAGCGUGGGUAGCAAACAGGAUUAGAUACCCUGGUAGUCCACGCCGUAAACGAUGAAUGCUAAGUGUUGGAGGGUUUCCGCCCUUCAGUGCUGCAGCUAACGCAAUAAGC
rnacentral:rRNA from 1 species